CAAACUCCAAGCUGUGCUUGAUGUUGGUCCGGUGUGUAUCGGUAAGUCUUCUUUUUCGGAGGAAGAGUUUUGAGAGACACAGGACUGGAACGCGUUGGCGCCGCCGCCAGACCACGAGCGUAGCAAGACGAGAGUCAAGAAAUCGCCUCGGGUUGGAUCUGACGGACGGUGGCCUGGUUAUGUGGUUAUGGAUAUUAUUCAUGGAUGAUUUUAUCGACAUGAAUGAUAGACAGACACACACACACACA
rnacentral:misc_RNA from 1 species